rnacentral:misc_RNA from 1 species
AACGCACGAGACCUGCGGACCUGCGGAGGGAUCAUUAACGAAAUUUGGGUCGGCUUUGUUAUCUGUGCUGGUGGUCACACAUGUGCACGUUAACAAGUCGCAUAUCCACAUCCCUGUGCAUCUUAUGACUCCAAGUUGCUUUUUGUGCCUAUGUGCCUGCCGACUUGAGAGUACUUUUUACACAAUCUUGAAUGUAACGGAAUGUCUUUUGUGCAUAAUGUACAACAGAAACAACUUUCA